GCUACGACCACAGCCUUCCGCUGCCCGUUCCUGCCGUGCCCGUACGUGGGAUUCUGCCAUGACGUCAUCCCCACCUACUACGACAAAGACGGCCACAGAUGUCGCGGCUGUGACCAGUGCGUGCAGCCCCAGACCUAGAGAGAGCAUCAAGCAUGCUGAGGCAUUGUCACCACUUGGAAAGAGUCGGAGUGAGACUCGCAAUGUGAAUGAACUUCGAUGCUACCCACAGGAGUUAAGUAAUUAUGUUGCUCAAUAAAUAAAUGUGGAAAUGUUUCUAAUCGA